rnacentral:rRNA from 1 species
CCUACGGGAGGCUGCAGUGGGGGAUAUUGCACAAUGGGGGAAACCCUGAUGCAGCGACGCCGCGUGGGCGAAGAAGUAUUUCGGUAUGUAAAGCUCUAUCAGCAGGGAAGAAGAAAUGACGGUACCUGAGUAAGAAGCACCGGCUAAAUACGGGCCAGCAGCCGCGGUAAUACGGAGGGUCCAAGCGUUAUCCGGAUUUACUGGGUGUAAAGGGAGCGCAGGCGGCACGGCAAGCCUGAUGUGAAAGCCCGCGGCUCAACCGCGAGACUGCAUUGAGUACUACCGGGCUGGAGUGCCGGAGAGGUAGGCGGAAUGCCUGGUGUAGCGGUGAAAUGCGGAGAGAUUAGACGGAACACCAGUGGCGAAGGCAGCCUACUAGACGGUAACUGACGCUGAGGCUCGAAAGCGUGGGGAGCAAACAGGAUUAGAUACCCCGGUAGUC